GUGAAAACCUACGACACAAAUAUUCUCAGGAGUUCUAGUACUUUUGCUUUAUAAAAUGAAAUAAUUAUAAUGUCAAAUUAAUUAAAUGUUAAGUGAAUAGCUUCAAUAUGCUCUUCAGGAUUAUUUUAUGUGCAUAAUACAUAGACAUAAUCCUGUGUACAUAAUUUACUUGUUUAACUCUUGAUUAUCCAUACUCAUAGAAGCAGCACUCACUUUGAUAAGCAUCUGUUGUUGAGAGUAGAACACCAAAGAGCAUCAGAGCUUGAAGACACAUUCAGUAUCACUCCUUCAACACACCUGUUAGCAUGGAAGCAGACCUAAAGGUGGCAAGUCAAUUCUCAAAAAUCACUCAGAUGAUAAGGAAGACUCUAUAAUAUGGAGUCUUGCUGUGUCACCCAGGCAGGAGUGCAAUGGUGUGAUCUCUGCUCCCUGCAACCUCCAUCCCCUGGGUUCAAGAGUUUCUACUGCCUUGGACUCCUGAGUAUCUGGGACUACAGGGUGAUAUUUCUCAAAGACUCAUGCUGACUUAAGCUUCUGGAACCUUGUGGGUGGAUCUGCUAAAUUAAAGACUUGUAUUUAAAUUUUCUGCAUAACACUUGUGGGCUGAAUGCAUCACAGUUACUGAGGAAAGUAGAGAGUUUUCUAGUCCUGAGAGGCAUGAGUAGAACUCUGUUGGUCAGGGGACUAUGAAUCCAGCAAACUUUUAAGGUAUUACUUUUCCAAAAUGAAUAAAUAGAAGCAUCACUAGUACCCUGGGAAACA
rnacentral:lncRNA from 13 species